rnacentral:lncRNA from 1 species
UCCUCACUAGGACUACCUUGGCCAAGGUUUUGCUAAAUUAAAAUAUGACUGUACACAGCUCCUGAAUUGGAGUGGUCAAUCGUAUCUUGACACACGCACCGACAAGUCAAGUACUUGACUACACCCAGCAGCCUUCCGUCACUGAAUUAAAAAUUCAGGUAGUCCAGUGCCUAAGUGCAGUGAGUUGCUUGCAAGUCACCGUAGCGGUCUC